CUUGAUCUCCAAUAAGAGGUCCAGCCUGCCCAGUGACACUGUUCAACGGCCGCGGUAUCCUAACCGUGCGAAGGUAGCGUAAUCACUUGUUCUUUAAAUGAGGACUAGUAUGAAAGGCACCACGAGAGUCAUGCUGUCUCCUUUCUCUGAUCAGUAAAACUAAUCUCCCCGUGAAGAAGCGGGAAUAAAAAUAUAAGACGAGAAGACCCUAUGGAGCUUUAAACAAAAAAUACCUGCCUACCUCUCUCUAAUUUCAGAAAAACUUCCUACCCUGGCACCAUAAUUUCUAGUUUUCGGUUGGGGUGACCGCGGAACAAAAACCAACCUCCGCAAUGAAAAAUCCCUCCAUUAAGUCAAGGACUACAAUCCUACACAUCAACAAAUUGACAUCAGUUGACCCAACACGUUGAUCAAUGAAC
rnacentral:rRNA from 1 species